rnacentral:rRNA from 1 species
UACGGAGGAUCCGAGCGUUAUCCGGAUUUAUUGGGUUUAAAGGGAGCGUAGGUGGAUUGUUAAGUCAGCGGUAAAAGCCCGGGGCUCAACCCCGGCCCGCCGUUGAAACUGGCGGGCUGGAGUUGGAGAGAAGUACGCGGAAUGCGCGGUGUAGCGGUGAAAUGCUUAGAUAUCGCGCAGAACCCCGAUUGCGAAGGCAGCGUACCGGCUCUACACUGACGCUGAGGCACGAAAGCGUGGGUAUCGAACAGG